GUGCAGUCUACGAGCUGAGAGCACAGAGCCAACUGCCGAGAGGAAAAGUGAAAUGUAAAGUGAUUAAGGAUAGCUAAAAAGAUACUUACCUGGUCGAUGAGCCACCACAACCACAUCUUAGUGAGCAACAAUUGACUUUUGGUCAGGUUUUUUCCGUUUUGUACCUUUUGCAUUGGAUUGAAACACCUGUAAGUGUGUGGGAGACACCUCUACAGUGGAGACAAGAUGGCGAGCCAGAUCCAUGGACUACAGUUCCAGAACCUUCGUCGUGAUUACAAGUGAAUCAGUUUCCUACUGAUGAACAUUGCUGCCAGUGCGGUAGGAACAUUGACUCUUUUAUUUUCCUCAUCUCAACCAAGCUUUGGAUUUCCUCAUCUGGAUUCUACUUUGUGGUGAAAGUGUGAUUGGUUUUGAAAUCGAUUUGGGGUUGAAUCAUGCUUGUUAUUGGUUCUUUCCUAAACAAAGAGUUAAAUCAACAAAAAUAGAAAUAUCAUUAGAAAUUACUUACAGUACCUGUUAACCUAACCAGGGUAAAGUACUCACAGACCGGUCUGAUUGAUAAAAUAACUCAAGUUAAAAUUAGAGACAUUGGAAAAAUAUUCUCUCUUAUUUACUUUUCAAUUUCCUGGAUCACUUUAUGCUGUUUAUAUUGUAUGUUUUUUCUGAAAUUUCUUGUUAGUAAAUUGCCGGCUCAAACUUCAACUUCUGGUCUUUGGUCUAUUUACACAUUCUCAUUCCACUCCUUCUGAACCUGGAUCUGGUCCUGGAGUAUUGGGCCUCAUUCAUGAAACGUUCUUAUGCACAAAUGUGUUUGUAAAGCCUUCUUACGAAGAUUUUUAGCAUUCACGAAACGUGUUCUUAACUCACAGUUCUUAGAUCAAAGAACAAAUUCCACAAACACUCAGGAGGACUCUUACGCACAAAUACAGCUUGCACUUCCAAUGCGCAAUCGCCCUCAUGAUGUAUUUUGCAACCUGAUCCCAAAAAAUGUAGUGCAAAUAUCAUAUCCCAACAAUUAUUUAUGAUCAAAACAACUAAAAUAUACUCCAUCGAUAAAUAUAUAUUCAAAUCCCAAUUCAUCCCAAACAAAAGGAAUUUCACAAUUACAAUAUGUAAAUAUUUUCUGCCAAUUAAGUCCUAUUUAAAUAGGACUGACUGUGCACCUGUGCCAGACACUAACCAUGGCAGACCUUCUUCUUCUGGAGUACCUGGCUGGACGUGCGCUGCGCAGAGAGAGAAUGUAUAGGGACCAUGUAGAUUUAUUUGCUGAAAGCACCGAAUUUUUGAUGUCCCGCUUGAGGCUUCCCAGGGUAAUUUUGAUUGAGCUGUGUGACACGUUGCGGGACACUUUGGAAGGACCCACAAACAGAUCCAACCCAGUACCUGCUCACAUUCAGGUGUUGUCAACUUUAGGCUUUUUAGCCACAGGGACAUUCCAACGGGAAAUUGGAGACCGAGUUGGUGUGUCGCAGUCGUCCAUCAGCCGUGCCAUUCCACGUACCCUUGCAAGAAUUAUCCAUCUCGCUCCACAAUACAUCCGGUUCCCAUACACACCAGAGGAAAGGAUUCCGAUAAAAACUGGCUUUCAUUCUGUAGCAGGCCUGUCCAACAUCAUCGGUGCCAUAGGCUGUACCCACGUGCACAUCAAAGCUCCAUCACCAGAUCCAUUUCCCUACAUCAAUCGCAAACGGUAUCAAUCAGUUAAUGUCCAAAUAAUCUCAGAUUCGCAACACAUCCUUCUGAAUGUUGUUGCACGUUUCCCUGGAGGUACACACGACUGCUACAUUUUCCAAAAUUCCUCCGUUGGAAUGCGCCUGAGUCAUGGCGCGGCAUGCAACAGAUGGUUAAUCGGUGCGUAAAAUGUUAAUUUCUUGCCUUUUGCAUGUUCUUAUGUGGCCAUUAACUUAUUUUACAGGUGAUCAAGGCUAUGCCCUGGCACCUUGGCUCAUGACACCAUUGAAUAAUCCGCAGACCCCAAAAGAACAAAUGUAGAACCUAAAGCGCACACGUACAUGCUCCUGCGUGGAGCGCACCAUCGGUAUACUCAAGGGACCCUGGAUGUGUUUGGACACUGCAGGUGGAAGGCUGCUCUACAAACCAGAAAAGGUGUGCAGGAUCAUCAUGGCCUGCUGCGUUUUGCAUAACAUCGCAAUGAAACGUGGUGUGCCUAUUGCGCACGUAGCACCCCCAGAUAACGACAUGCGCCCCCAGCCACGUCUUGAGCCAGAGCACGGGGCUGCUGUAUUAAUUGGGCAGCGUCUAAUUAAUCAAAUGUAACCACAGAAAAAAUAAAUUGUCACACACAAACUAUGUAUUUUGACUUUAUUUAUCUAUCAUGAUAGUGUAAAUAUUUUUUAGAGUUUCCGAAAUAGUUUGGAGUGUCGUAGCAAUUUGAGAAAGUGAGUGUGCUAUUUGUUCUUGAUUGUCCAGUACAGCAUCAGAGAUGAUUCUGGGGUGACGGGAGGAAGCAGACACUUGUGUCGGAGUCCUGGCUCGUGUCGGGGUUCGGGCCUGAGUCAGGAUUUGUUCUUCUGCUAUCGCCUGUGUUGUCUGUUCUACUUGGUCCUCUGAAAUCAAAUGAAAUACAGAUGAGAUGAGAUACAGGGGUUAAGAUAGAAAUAAAUAAAAACGAAUUAAAAGUCUAAAUUUGAAGUGUGGAAUUUUAAGAGAGCAUAUAUUUGAAAGGCAUUUACAAUGUUAAAAUAGCAAAAUGUGACUCACCAGCUUCGGAAUCAGAUAUGAUAAAUGAAAAGUCCACAUCCGUAUCCAGGGCCUGGGUGUUUGGAACCCCACAGACGGAUGUCUCUCCGAUUAUGGCGAUGAUUCUCUCAUCCACCUGUGAGGGGCCUGCACUGGUUGAUGGUCCACCUCUCGUUUCCUCCAGAUCCCUCCGGUGUAGUGCAAUCUUUUUUUUUGACCCGGAUUUUAAAUCAAACCACUUCUUUUUUACCUCUGCGGUGGUGCGUUUCUCCGUGGAAACGGCAUUUAUAUUUCCUGCAAUGGUGCUCCAUGCCGAUUCUUUUUGGGUGGCCUGAUGACCGGUGGAUACACUAGAAAAUAAGGUGGUCUUGUGUUCGGUCACUCCUUGUAAAAGCACCUCUAUUUCAGCAGAAUUGAAGUUUUUCUUCCGUUUGUUGUCCAGCUGCUCCUCAGUCUUGCCCUUGCGCUUCGGCAUCUUGGCCUCUAGCUGUGUGUUGCGCACGGCACAUUUUUCACCUUAUAUAGGAAAUAAUAGGCGGUGACCUAUGCAAAUUAGGCCUCACAUGCACGUGCAUCCCAGUUGGCAUUCAUCAACCUAAGAACACGGUGCGAACGAUUAUCCCUACUUAAGAGCGUGUCGUGAAUGCGGCGCUGUUUCCAACCCGCGCCUUCUUAAGUAGAGUUCUUAAGAAGACUUUUAAGAAGAUGUUAGUGAAUGAGGCCCAUUGUUAGUAUAUCGGUGUAGACAAGUGCUACAUUCCACUAAGACAGUUAGGAGGUGGAGCCAGGAGACCAGCCAGACUCUACAGGACUGCUUUGAGACCGCCAACUGGGACAUGUCAGCCCCAUGGGUCUGUCAUUGACAGCAUCACGGACUGCAUCAAGAAGUACAUCAACUUCUGUGAAGACACUGUCAUUCCUGCAAGAACUGUCUGUUGUUAUCCUAACAACAAGCCCAGCUGAAUAAGAAGAAGCAGGCCUUCCGAUAUGGAGAUAAGGAUGAAUUGAAGAGGAUACAGUGGCAGUUUAAGAUCAAGCUUAGGGAAUGUAAAGUUACCUACAGGAGGAAGCUGGAGGCCAAUCUCCAGCAGAACAACAUUCGGGGCGUGUGGAAGGGCAUGCAAAUGAUCACUGGCUUCAACAUCAAGGCCAAGUAGCAGACAGGGGUGCAGACAAAUCCAAAAGCUGAAUUUGUUCUUCAAUAGAUUCAAUGCUCCGGGCCCCUGCUGGCCCUUCCCCCAUCACUCCAUUCUUCAUACUCCCCCAGAGAGCAAUCCACAACACACCACUGAUUCCUUCCUUCAUGUCCCUGCUGCUUCCCACUCCCUUACUCCCACCCCCGGUGAGGAACUCAAAAACUAUGCUGUCUAAUACAAUAUUUUUUCCUCAACGCGAGAGGAAAAUACUUGGGAAAAAUGUAACUUAAAACUUGUACUCAACAACUCAAACAAUGUACUAAUAUGAGCCAUUUCAAGAGACAGUACGAGCUGCUGAUGUUUACAAGUACGAGUACAAAUAAGAAUGCUGAAGCACGACGUCUGACAUCAUCGUUCCUAAUGCUUCCUCUGAUCUUAUUAAUAAUUGCACUAAUAAAAUGUGCAAACCCUCCCAAUUCUCAUGCAAAAAGAUACUUUACAUUCCAACAAAGCUUUCUCUUCUGAAAAUUUUACUUUGUCUUGAACUGAAACAAUUCUUUGAAAGCAUUCCACAGUUGCCACCCCUUCCCCCCAGUUUGAGCCACAUUCCGCCUGCACGGGUAAGGAUUUCAUUUACAUAUGAAAACUGACUGGUGAGGACUAUCAACUUGUUAAUCGAAAUGCACAGGGCCAUUUUGGACCCUCUCUGGUAUUUCUAGGGCGGGAGGCCAAAUUGGCCCCUUCUUGGUAGUUCUAGUUAAGCAGCCACCGCUAUGUUGUUACUUCUCGAUGUCAUCUGUUUUUAGGGUCAGUUUGACCAGGAUCAUAUACAUGACUUUAUCUAUUCAUUCGUCAUACAAUGCUAACUCGGAUUCAAAGGAAAAUCUUGAACUACAGUACGUGACAAAUGCAAUGCUAUGUCUAACCACUUUUGCACUUACUUAUUCUUCAUUCCUCAGGACUUGAAAGGAUAAAUGAGUUAUACAGUAUAUUAGCAUACUGAAUAUACACGCCCUUGCUAGCACACACAUACACUUGAUGAAAUGAAUAUAUAGGUUUUUUUACCACUAUAUUUCUGCAUGCUAACUGUUGUAUCGUAUUGCAGCAUAGGAUACAAGUGUAAGUAGUUGUCUUUAUAGUGUCGCACACAAUCACACACGCAGUCCACAUCGUGCUAGGGUGCUAAGAGGUAUUUAGAAGUGGAAAACAGCAAGACAGGCCAGCCCAGCCCAUGGUGACCAAUGGAACCAUCAAAGACCCCCUUUCCUUGACCCAACGGUGGCAAGGACAGUAUGAAUAUGAUUCUAUGCUGAAAUAACUGAUUAAUCUGUCAAUUAUUUUUCAAUUAAUCAAUUAAUCGCAUUUUUAAAAAAAACACGUUUUUAAUAUCCGCCUCUUUAUUCAGAAGAUUUGAAAUGACAGAGAAAGAUUUUGAAGUGCACAAACCAGGUUGCCUAAUGUUAAAUAAUAAAAAAAUGUAAAUGUUUGUCAAUAGCUUCAGUAAAACAAUAAAUGUCCACAAAAAUACAAUCAUGGUGAUUUUCUUAGCCGAUUAAUCUGAAGCUUGUUAAUUCACUUUAUGGAGUAAUCGGUUAGGCCACCUACAGUUAGUGGUUGGGUCCGCAAUAUAUCAGAAAAGAGGCAAAAAUGAUCACAGUUUUCCAAAAUCAAAGCUGAUAUGUGUGAAUAUCUUGUUUUGGCUAAAACACAAAGAUAAUAAGUCUGCUUGCCUUAUAAUUGUCUUAUGUUUUUUCAGAAUUGUUAAAGGUACAUGUUAAACAAAUGUAUUUGGAAUUGAUGUGAGAGGA